rnacentral:misc_RNA from 1 species
UUGAGUUUGCGCGGUCGUUGCUGGUUAUUACAAGUGCACACCGUGUCUUUCUUUAUCCACCCCACUGUGCAUCUGGACGUGCCUUCGGGUGCGGUCCAAACUUUUACAUUACAAAACCGUCUUGUAUGAGUAGAACGUGCUUUGAAAUAAUAAAUA